rnacentral:rRNA from 1 species
GAUGAACGCUGGCGGCGUGCCUAAUACAUGCAAGUCGAGCGAACAGACGAGGAGCUUGCCUCUCUGACGUUAGCGGCGGACGGGUGAGUAACACGUGGAUAACCUACCUAUAAGACUGGGAUAACUUCGGGAAACCGGAGCUAAUACCGGAUAAUAUAUUGAACCGCAUGGUUCAAUAGUGAAAGACGGUUUUGCUGUCACUUAUAGAUGGAUCCGCGCUGCAUUAGCUAGUUGGUAAGGUAACGGCUUACCAAGGCAACGAUGCGUAGCCGACCUGAGAGGGUGAUCGGCCACACUGGAACUGAGACACGGUCCAGACUCCUACGGGAGGCAGCAGUAGGGAAUCUUCCGCAAUGGGCGAAAGCCUGACGGAGCAACGCCGCGUGAGUGAUGAAGGUCUUCGGAUCGUAAAACUCUGUUAUUAGGGAAGAACAGAUGUGUAAGUAACUGUGCACGUCUUGACGGUACCUAAUCAGAAAGCCACGGCUAACUACGUG